rnacentral:rRNA from 1 species
ACGAACGCUGGCGGCGUGCUUAACACAUGCAAGUCGAACGGAAAGGCCCCUUUGGGGGUACUCGAGUGGCGAACGGGUGAGUAACACGUGAGUAACCUGCCCUUGACUUCGGGAUAACUUCAGGAAACUGGGGCUAAUACCGGAUAGGAAUCCUUGCUGCAUGGUGGGGGUUGGAAAGCUUCGGCGGUUUUGGAUGGACUCGCGGCUUAUCAGCUUGUUGGUGGGGUAGUGGCUUACCAAGGCUUUGACGGGUAGCCGGCCUGAGAGGGCGACCGGCCACAUUGGGACUGAGAUACGGCCCAGACUCCUACGGGAGGAAGCAGUGGGGAAGAUUGCACAAUGGGCGGAAGCCUGAUGCAGCAACGCCGCGUGCGGGAUGACGGCCUUCGGGUUGUAAAACGCUUUCAGCAGGGGCGAAGCUUGUGGUGACGGUACCUGCAGAAGAAGCACCGGCUAACUACGUG